GAGGCUUGCAGCGAGGCAAAUCCCGCUGCUUUCAGCCAAACGGUGAUGAGGAGGGAACUUAAGUACCGAAGCGCCUGAUCCUACACUGCCAAGAAAAGCCUCUAGCGAGUGAAACGGUGCCCGUACCAAAACCGACACAGGUAGGCAAGAAGAGAAUUCUAAGACGCUCGGGAGAACUCUCGUUAAGGAACUCGGCAAAAUCACCCCGUAACUUCGGGAGAAGGGGUGCUCGUCGGAUCUACGGAUCCGAUGAGCCGCAGUGAAAAGAUCCAAGCGACUGUUUACCAAAAACACAGGUUUCUGCUAAACCGUAAGGUGAUGUAUAGGGGCUGACACCUGCCCGGUGCUGGAAGGUUAAAAGGAGAGGUUAUCCUUCGGGAGAAGCUUUGAAUUGAAGCCCCAGUAAACGGCGGCCGUAACUAUAACGGUCCUAAGGUAGCGAAAUUCCUUGUCGGGUAAGUUCCGACCCGCACGAAAGGUGUAACGAUUUGGAUACUGUCUCAACGAGAGACCCGGUGAAAUUAUAGUACCUGUGAAGAUGCAGGUUACCCGCGACAGGACGGAAAGACCCCAUGGAGCUUUACUGCAGCUUGAUAUUGGAUGUGGGUAUCGUUUGUACAGGAUAGGCAGGAGCCUUUGAAACCGGACCGCUAGGUUCGGUGGAGGCAUCGGUGGGAUACUGCCCUGACGAUAUCGACAUUCUAACCCUGAACCGUGAUCCGGUUCGGAGACAGUGUCAGGUGGGCAGUUUGACUGGGGCGGUCGCCUCCUAAAAGGUAACGGAGGCGCCCAAAGGUUCCCUCAGAAUGGUUGGAAAUCAUUCGCAGAGUGUAAAGGCACAAGGGAGCUUGACUGCGAGACCUACAAGUCGAGCAGGGACGAAAGUCGGGCUUAGUGAUCCGGUGGCACCGCAUGGAAGGGCCAUCGCUCAACGGAUAAAAGCUACCCUGGGGAUAACAGGCUUAUCUCCCCCAAGAGUUCACAUCGACGGGGAGGUUUGGCACCUCGAUGUCGGCUCAUCGCAUCCUGGGGCUGAAGUAGGUCCCAAGGGUUGGGCUGUUCGCCCAUUAAAGCGGUACGCGAGCUGGGUUCAGAACGUCGUGAGACAGUUCGGUCCCUAUCCGUCGCGGGCGUAGGAAAUUUGAGAAGAGCUGUCCUUAGUACGAGAGGACCGGGAUGGACACACCGCUGGUGUACCAGUUGUUCCGCCAGGAGCAUACGCUGGGUAGCUA
rnacentral:rRNA from 1 species